UACGGAGGGGGCAAGCGUUAUUCGGAAUUAUUGGGCGUAAAGGGCGCGUAGGCGGCUAGAUGUGUCAAAGGUGAAAUCCCUCGGCUCAACUGAGGAACUGCCUUUGAAACUGUCUGGCUUGAGGCCGGGAGAGGGUAGCGGAAUUCCCAGUGUAGCGGUGAAAUGCGUAGAUAUUGGGAGGAACACCAGUGGCGAAGGCGGCUACCUGGACCGGUUCUGACGCUGAGGCGCGAAAGCUAGGGGAGCGAAAGGG
rnacentral:rRNA from 1 species